UCGCGGCCUAUCAGCUAGUUGGUGAGGUAAUGGCUCACCAAGGCGUCGACGGGUAGCCGGCCUGAGAGGGCGACCGGCCACACUGGGACUGAGACACGGCCCAGACUCCUACGGGAGGCAGCAGUGGGGAAUAUUGCACAAUGGGCGCAAGCCUGAUGCAGCGACGCCGCGUGAGGGAUGACGGCCUUCGGGUUGUAAACCUCUUUCAGUAGGGAAGAAGCGAAAGUGACGGUACCUGCAGAAGAAGCACCGGCUAACUACGUGCCAGCAGCCGCGGUAAUACGUAGGGUGCAAGCGUUGUCCGGAAUUAUUGGGCGUAAAGAGCUUGUAGGCGGUUUGUCGCGUCUGCCGUGAAAACUCGGGGCUCAACCCCCGACUUGCAGUGGGUACGGGCAGACUAGAGUGUGGUAGGGGAGACUGGAAUUCCUGGUGUAGCGGUGGAAUGCGCAGAUAUCAGGAGGAACACCGAUGGCGAAGGCAGGUCUCUGGGCCACAACUGACGCUGAGGAGCGAAAGGGUGGGGAGCAAACAGGAUUAGAUACCCUGGUAGUCCACCCCGUAAACGUUGGGAACUAGGUGUGGGGUUCAUUCCACGAAAUCCGUGACGCAGCUAACGCA
rnacentral:rRNA from 1 species